CCAAUAACGUAGAGGGGCGUGGUCUGAGGGGCACUCCGCUCCUGCGGAGCCGGAGUCAAUAGCACGAAGCAGAUAGAGCGGAGCCUUAGAGAAAGCCUCGCCUACCGAAAAGAACUUCACCAAUAGCGCGGCGGGGCGUGGCCUCACGAACCCUUAUGCGGGGCUUGGUUCUGGAGGCGAGCCUGAGUGGGCGGUGCUGCAGCGCACUUCUGCCGCCUUGGGUCUCGCAAAUACACAGUCAAACAAGGAAACUGAGACCCAGGAAUGGGGGACCCGGUCUUAGUCACCCAGCUGUCACUGUUUUUUUUUUUUUUUCUGUUGUUUUGGGAGACUGGUUCUCAUGUCUUGCCUGGGACUUGAGACAGUUCCCCUGCCUCAGCCUCCUGAGUGCUUGGAUGAUAGGCAGGUAGUAUUUUUGUUUUUUGUUUUUUUUUAAAGAUGUAUUUAUUAUAUAUACAAACAGCAUCUUGCCUGCAUGUAUGUCUGCAGGUCAGAAGAGGGCAUCGGAUCUCAUUACAGAUGGUUGUGAGCCACCAUGUGGUUGCUAACCAAGGAGCUAUCUCUCCAGCCCAAGCAGGUAGUUUUGAGACAGGGUUUCACUGGGUUCCCUAGGCUGCUCUGGAACUCGCUAUGUAGACCAGGCUGGCCUUGAACUCAAAGAGAUGAGUUUGCCACUGCUUCCCGAGUGCUGGAAUUAAAGUUCAAAUCGGGUUUUUGAACCCGAAAGCUUAUUUUUCUUUUGAUGCUGCGUCUCACAUAGCCCAGGGUGGCCUCGAAUUCACCUCGAACUCGAACGGAGCCUGACGUUGAACUUGCCCAACCCCACCAGUCUUUCAGAGUUGGCUUGAUAGGCGUUUGCCACAGUGCCUGGCUGUUUCUUAUAAUUUUUUUUCUUUUCUUUUUUUCAGAGCUGGGGACCGAACCUAGGGCCUUGUGCUUGCUAGGCAAGCGCUCUACCACUGAGCUAAAUCCCCAACCCCUGUUUCUUAUAUUUUGAGACAGGAUCUCAUACUGUAACCCAGGCGGUCCCGGAACUCACAGCAACGGAAUUUCGGUCUUAGCCUCUUAGGCGAUGGGUUGGCAGGAGUGACCACUGGGCCAGAACCUCCCAGCUUAAUCAUCAACUUCUGCCUGCAGACCUAUCUGGAGCACCCUACUACAGGCUGAUUGUUUCCUGCAGUGCGAAUUGGUGGGGACAGGGAAGGUUGGUCUUUUCCCGCAUUCACCGUCCCCCAUCCAACCCCACCCCCCGUGUGCCUAAGGGACCUAGGCAAGGGACGAGGAAGACGUGCCUCAGUUUCCACUUCCAUAGGGUAUGGGGGAACUUAGUCUCUCAGAUCCAGAAGGAAAUCGCCAUGCAUAGGCAGCAAACCCAGAAGACUCUUUGACAUUUUGAGUCCAGGGCUGCAGCGUUCCUGGGGAGAGCAAGACCCUUCUGGGGCCUCCGUUAACCUAAGAGCCACAGGAAGAAUUACUCCUGCGGGAAAAUCUGCCCGGCGUUUGUAGGACGCCGGCGCCCCCUGGUGGACAUGGGAGUGCACUGGGGCACGAAUUCAUUCCUGAGCCCAGCUGUGUGAACACAGGGAUCCCCAGGCUGCAUGCAGCACCUCUCACCAGCAGCCCGGGGAGAGGAUGGGGCGGCCUGGAGGAUCAGAGAGGACUCACAGGCCUUGGCCUAAAGGAAAGUGCUGGAAUUGAAGACACCCCGUCCCACGGGUCUCUCCAUGUAGCUGUGGCUGGCCUUGAGCUCCUGGAAAUCCUUCUGCCUCCGCUUCCUGAGUAUCUACUGCAUAGGGCGCUCCUGCUUCUGCAAGGUCACCCGAGAGUAGCACUUCCUGGCGUCACAGGUAGGUCUUGGCUUCGGUGAAGUUGUUGGUCACAGCGUUCACGCCCAUGCUGCACCCUCUAGCCAGUACGUGGCCGCCUGGCCCCAUGCCGCCACCACCAGCGCUUGCACACGCAGCGGCACGGCUACCUCCAACAGCACCCAGCCCAGCAGCUGCUGAUCCCCAAAGCCCUGCGGCGUCACUUCCCGCAAUUCCAGCGCCAAACUGCGCCUGGAGCCCAGCUGCAUGUCCAGCAGGCCUGAGACACCCUGACUUCCUGCUCCCCAGCGUUGAUUAUUCAGGCCCGGGCAGGGAGAAUGUGGCCGCUGACUGAAGCGACAUGUAGCUCUCCCUCACAGCUGCAUUUCAGGCUCUCAUUCAGCCCCAUCCUGCCUCCUGGUGAUGCGCGGACCACAGAUCCUCUCGGACCUUAGAACAUGCAGCACGCAGUGCGAGUCGAGUCUUCCAUGCCCAAAUGUCACCACCGGAGUCUCAAGUCACCUCCAGCCUUGUUUAUUUCUGUGCCACCCCCAGGUCUUACUGUGCAUACAUUGCAAGCCUCCUGCCUUGGCCUCCCAAGUGUUAGGAAUAAAGGCAUGUGUCACAUUGACCUGCCUUACUUCUUCCGGUCCUGUUUUGAUCCCAGUCCCCUCCUCAUGGACAGGAGCUAACACUGGACUCAGAGGGGACUGGAUGAGGCUAUGUUUCCCAAGCCUUCAUGGGCAGUCUCAGGAAGAGGGAGCAUUUAUUGAGCACCUACUGUCUGACCCCUGUGGGGGUUAGGUUUGGCCUGUUUCCCCUUAGAGACUUGCCCCAUAGCAGCAGGGAAAUAAAACCAGCCCCACCCCCCGCUCCACCCCACAGCUCCUGCCCACAAACUUGUAGAGUCCAAGCUGGGCCCCUGGGAUUCAGUUCAGGUCUACUAUCUCCUGAGACAGGUGGCUAACGUCCAUAUCAGGGGCUGCCAUGACUUAGGCUCCAUGGUUGAUUGUGACAAGCCACCUACCCCUGUGAGGUGUCUCGGUGUUCCCCAAGUACCCAAAGUCUGGAUGGAACCUGAGGUCUGAAGGGACCGUGGUGAUUUUGCUUGUCUGUAACCCUGGCCUCUCACCCUCUCACAUCUGCCCCCAUACCCUCCCGUGUGCCCUUACUUUGACAUGAGGAUCCCCAAGUAGAAUCUAUCCACCUGUGCUGUUUGACAAGUGUGUCUGCCUCAGACCAUUGCUGUGUGACUGCAGGCAAGUGGCCUCACCUCUCUCAACUUUCAUUUGUUUGUACCUUACUCCAAUUAGAUCCUGAAGAAAAGUCAUUGUAUCAGUCCCUGUAUACAGCAAGUACUCAAUGCAUGGGCAGUGACUUUCCACCCCUGUCCUUGCCCAUUCAGGAACCCACAGGCUGGGUCAUCCACCUCCUCUGGGGAGAUGGUCAUGGCCCCCCUGCCAUGUAAACAGGAAGUGGGCUGGAGGCUUCUGAUUUACUUAGAAAUGUCGAGGCCCCCCUUCUACUACUCCUUGCCCUCCUGGGGCUUGGGACAGCUAAGGGGCCAUGGAUCUCAUGGUCCAGCCUCAGAGGAAUGAAUGCCAGUCCAGUCAGUUCAGUUCCACCCAAGCUUGCAAACUCAGUCGUCCGGAGGUCCAGAACAGUGAGGAGCUAGCUGUGGCCACACAAUGGCCAAGAUUAAGCAGUCUAGUGACCAGCAGGCCCUCACCCACAGUCUGAUGCCGUGGUGGGCAGCCAGUGGCUUUGUGGGCUCUGGGCGGCUGUGGUCAGGUGACUGGGCCCGGGCCAGGGUGGUGGUAGAGGGCAUAUGGCUUGGGCUAUGAGACUUGGUAGGGCCUGCAGGGAGGCGCCUAGGACAUCCAGGCGGCUCUCCAGGGCAGCCAGACGGGCCUCCAACUCCUCCUGCUGGGCCUGCAGCUCCGACACCACCUCAUAUGCGAUGCUCUGUGCCUGCAGAGAUGGAGAGACAGACCAAGUGACAAGGGAGGGGCCAGGAGAUGGCUAAGGAUAGAAGGCUAAGGACAGUAGGGGCCACCAUAAGGAUUAAAGAGCAGGGGGGUUAAGCAAUUUCUGCUCUAGCAGCUGGCCAGCUGUGUGACCAGCAGGGGGCGCCAGACGUGCAGAGUCCCAUCACAGGCGCCAAGCUCACCACCAUUGAGGAGGCUCAUGAACAUGGCAGGGUCAGACAGAGCUAGAGGAAGGCCCUCUCCAUUGGGCCACCAUGCCUUUGCCCAGACUGUACCUCACCUGUCCCCACUUGUCCAGAAGCCAGGAUGACAUUUGGAGAAACCCACAACUGUAGCCAGCCUUCAGUUGGCUCAUAGCCAUCUCAGGUAUUUUAUUUGUUUAUUUAUUCAUUCAUUUAUUUAUUUAGACAGGGCAUAAAUAACCACAUGCCCUGACUGGCCUGGUAUUUGGUAUAUAGACCAGACUGGUCUCAAACUCACAAGCCAGAGCUCUGGGAUUAAAGGUGUGUGCCACCAGGCCUAGCUUGGCUUUAUUUGUUUGUUUGUAUGUGCGUAUUAUAUGUAUGUAUUGCAUGUAUGUAUGUAUUGUAUGUAUGUAUUGUAUGUAUUGCAUGUAUGUGUGUAUUGCAUGUAUGUGUGUAUUGGAUGUAUAUAUUGUAUAUAUGUAUUAUAUGUGUGCAUGUAUGUAUUGUAUAUAUGUAUGUAUUGUAUGUAUGUAUAUAUUGUAUGUAUUGUAUGUAUGUAUGUAUGUAUGUAUGUAUGUAUGUAUUUUUUAAGACAUAGUCUCCAGGAUUCCAGGACAUCAUCCUGCAGGCAUGUGUACACUGAGUAUACUAUGUGAAACGAACUGCUCUAUGACUUCUGCCUAACAUUCCUGACCUCUAGAAGCUGAGGCAGGAGCAUCAGGAGUUCUAAAUUGUCCCCGGCUGUACAGUGAAUUCCAGGACAGACCGGGCUAUAUGACACACUGACUGUCUCAAAAGCAACAAAAAGAAUUUAACAUCUUCCAAAGCCAUUAUUGGCUAGACCGGGAGGUGGAGCCCCUGCCUAGAAUCCCUGAGUGAGGGGCUGGGGAUCUGGUUAGGGGUGGAUUCCAUGCCUAGAAUCCUAUGCUGUAUGUGUAUGUAUUUAAUACUGGGUCUCUAUAUAGCCCGGGCUAUUUUUGAUCUCCUAGCCUCAGAGGAUCCUUCUGCCUCAGCCUCUGGAGGAGCUAGAACCUGGGCUUGUGGUCCCGUGCCUGGAAUCAUUGUUCUGUUCAUGGAUUUCAACUGAAGAGCCAAGCGGAGCAGAAACUCGAUGCUGCACUGUGGGGUUCCAGCCUCCUCUGAUCAGACACUGUCCCUGUGUCCCGGAGCCUGUCCUUCCCGCCCGCCCGCCCUGCUGACUCUCACCUUGGCCAGGUCAGCCAGCGUGUUGGCCUGAUCAUUCACCUUCCCUUGUUCAAUCUUCACAGUCCGGAGCCUAGGGAUAGGGCAGGGACGGAGCAGGUGAGGCUCCAGCAGACCCUCGGGGCUGCGGGUAAUCCCGGCCCAGGUCAGGCCACUUCCAAGGAUGUGGGCCCAUCCACAAGACAAAGACAGACAUAUUCCCUGCCCACUACAGACAUGCCUGUGGCAUAACCCUCCCCCCCAUGGGCAUCGUGCACCACCAGACUUCCAGUCACCCCAAGACUUACUUCUGCGCCCUGGGAAGAGCCAGGAGAGCGUAGAAAAAGAAAACCGAGAAUGAGAAAAGCACAGAGCCAUUUUAGUCUCAAGCAGCAACAUCUUAGUGGCUGGCAGCGCCCAUCACCAGAUGACGCCCCAGUUCCUGGCAGGGGGUCCUGGGCUGCCAAGUUGCUGCUGCCUCGGUGGGCUGGAAUCCGGUCUCAUAAUGUAAGAGGCCAACCCCUUAAGACACCUGUGUCCUGUCACCCCGGGGACUUCCUGGCAGCCCUGGGUAGCUGCCAGUCACUGCCUUUCUCCCACAGUCCCUUGAGUGGCACCUUGCCUCCAUGGGCAACUUGCUGAGAAAACAUCCUGAAUGGAAACUGAGGCUGGCAGGGGCGGUGCCAACGGGGAUCAGCACAACACAGACAGGACGUGAACUGCUGACCAUAGCUGCUGACCAGGUGCACCCUUGAUGCUUGGAGUGCUGCCCACCAGAGGUGAACAAAGGUUGUUUCCACUUUCAUCCUGCAUAUGCCACCCCAGGGCUGUGGGCUGCCUCCUAAGGCCCAGAGUUCUGACCCUGGCGCCUUUGGAGUGUCAUAGCAUCACAGGCAAAGAAAGAUGGGGAAGGGAGGGGAGAGGGAAGGGGAAGGGGCGGCAGACAGGCACGCAACACUUCCUGUACUGGGAGUCCCACUAGGACCGAGUUGCUGCAGGCCCUCUCCAAGAAACACCACCACAGCUGGGAAGAUCCUCACCCUGCAA